rnacentral:piRNA from 1 species
CCGCUUGUCUGGUUCCCAAAUGUCAC